UCCUGGCGGCGUGCUUACCAUGCAGUCGAACGAUGAUGCCAGCUUGCUGGUGGAUUAGUGGCGAACGGGUGAGUAACACGUGAGUAACCUGCCCUUAACUCUGGGAUAAGCCUGGGAAACUGGGUCUAAUACCGGAUAUGACUCCUCAUCGCAUGGUGGGGGGUGGAAAGCUUUAUUGUGGUUUUGGAUGGACUCGCGGCCUAUCAGCUUGUUGGUGAGGUAAUGGCUCACCAAGGCGACGACGGGUAGCCGGCCUGAGAGGGUGACCGGCCACACUGGGACUGAGACACGGCCCAUACUCCUACGGGAGGCAGCAGUGGGGAAUAUUGCACAAUGGGCGAAAGCCUGAUGCAGCGACGCCGCGUGAGGGAUGACGGCCUUCGGGUUGUAAACCUCUUUCAGUAGAGGAGAAGCGAAAGUGACGGUACCUGCAGAAGAAGCGCCGGCUAACUACGUGCCAGCAGCCGCGGUAAUACGUAGGGCGCAAGCGUUAUCCGGAAUUAUUGCGUCGUAAAGAGCUCACUAGGCGGUUAUGUCGCGCGCUGCGCGUGAAAGGUCAGGGGCUCUACUACAUGAUCUGCGGUGAGUACGGGGCAGACUAUUAGUGAUGUGAGGGGAUACUGUAAUGCCUGGGUGUAGCGGUGAUAUGCGCAGUAUAUCAGGAGAUAACACCGAUGUGCGAAGGGCAGCGUCUCUGGGCGAUUAACUGACGCUGAGGAGCGUAAUUGCAUGCUGAAGCGACACAGAGAUUAGAUACGCUGAGUAGUCCCAUGAUCGCCAAUACGUUGUGCCACCUACGUUGUGCGGAGGACAU
rnacentral:rRNA from 2 species